GGAAUAUUGCGCAAUGGGGGAAACCCUGACGCAGCGACGCCGCGUGGAGGAUGACGCCCUUCGGGGUGUAAACUCCUUUCGCCGGGGACGAAUCGCCACCGCAAGGUGGCCUGACGGUACCCGGAUAAGAAGCCCCGGCUAACUACGUGCCAGCAGCCGCGGUAAUACGUAGGGGGCAAGCGUUGCUCGGAAUUACUGGGCGUAAAGGGUCCGUAGGCGGCGCGGUAAGUCGACGGUGAAAUCUCCCGGCUCAACCGGGAGGGGCCCGCCGAAACUGCCGUGCUCGAGGGCCGGAGGGGCGAGUGGAAUUACCGGUGUAGCGGUGAAAUGCGUAGAUAUCGGUAGGAACACCGGAGGCGAAGGCGGCUCGCUGGACGGCACCUGACGCUGAGGGACGAAAGCUGGGGGAGCAAAC
rnacentral:rRNA from 1 species